GUCUAUUUGAGUUUUUGGAUGAUAGCACAGUGUAAAGGGUCAGUCUAGUAUGAGGAACCCCUAGAGGUGCAGAGGGAGAGUGAUGAUCCCCUAAAGAUCUGUGCUGGAGAAGGUUGCUGGCGCCUCCCCUUGAAGUCUCCCUACAGUCCCUGGCUGUGUUGAGUCAGCCAGGAUGAUGUCACCAGCUUCCGUGCAGCCUGUGCUCCCUGACCUGGAAGGCGCCUGCCAGGGGCACCAGUCAAGCCUGAGGAAGGCUGGGCAGCUGUCCAGGUCACUCUGUCACAGUUGAUUUAGGGGGGCUGGAGGUGUCCAGAGCCAUCAGAAACAGCCAAGUGUCUGGGACCUCAAAGCCCAUAAGUUAUGUUGUUCUCCACACUGCUCCUCAAGAGUCUGCGAUGACUUCCUGGGAACUAGAAUCAUCAAAAUCAGUUUAUGCCAAAAGAAAUUACUUUCCAUCUCUCUGAAGUGGGUGUAGAGCCGGGGAAGCAUCUGCAAAGGUCACCCGAGAUCUGCAAGGCCCUGUCUGUCGUCUCCGCACAGCCUCCACCAGCAGACAUCUAAAGAUCUCCAUGAAGAUGAGGUGUCUCAUCAGAGUUGUUGGGACUUACCCACAGAGGGGUCCCUAAAACCAAGGGACAUAGGGUGGUGUUAAGAUGCCUAAGUCCAAUGCCCCCCACUUCAUAGCCUCUAGGUCUCGGUCGUUUCCAGCAUAGAGUAAGAUAAUAAAUAUUUGUUAUUGUUAUUAUUAUUAUUAUUAUUAUUAUUAUUGUUGUUGUUGUUGUUUUUUGAGACAAGGUCUUUCUGUAGAGUCCUGGUUGUUCUGGAACUCAC
rnacentral:lncRNA from 1 species